rnacentral:rRNA from 1 species
CAGCAGCCGCGGUAAUACGUAGGGUGCGAGCGUUAAUCGGAUUUACUGGGCGUAAAGCGUGCGCAGGCGGCCCGUUAAGACAGGUGUGAAAUCCCUGGGCUCAACCUAGGAAUUGCGCUUGUGACUGGCGGGCUCGAGUACGGUAGAGGGGGGUGGAAUUCCUGGUGUAGCAGUGAAAUGGGUAGAGAUCAGGAGGAACACCGAUGGCGAAGGCAGCCCCCUGGGCCUGUACUGACGCUCAUGCACGAAAGCGUGGGGAGCAAACAGGAUUAGAUACCCUGGUAGUCCACGCCCUAAACGAUGGGUACUAGCCGUUUGGUGCGCGAUAGCGCUGAGUGGCGAAGCUAACGCGUGAAGUACCCCGCCUGGGGAGUACGGCCGCAAGGUUGAAACUUAAAGGAAUUGGCGGG